rnacentral:rRNA from 1 species
GAUGAACGCUGGCGGCGUGCCUAAUACAUGCCAGUCGAGCGAACGGACGAGAAGCUUGCUUCUCUGAUGUUAGCGGCGGACGGGUGAGUAACACGUGGAUAACCUACCUAUAAGACUGGGGUAACUUCGGGAAACCGGAGCUAAUACCGGAUAAUAUUUUGAACCGCAUGGUUCAAAAGUGAAAGACGGUCUUGCUGUCACUUAUAGAUGGAUCCGCGCUGCAUUAGCUAGUUGGUAAGGUAACGGCUUACCAAGGCAACGAUGCAUAGCCGACCUGAGAGGGUGAUCGGCCACACUGGAACUGAGACACGGUCCAGACUCCUACGGGAGGCAGCAGUAGGGAAUCUUCCGCAAUGGGCGAAAGCCUGACGGAGCAACGCCGCGUGAGUGAUGAAGGUCUUCGGAUCGUAAAACUCUGUUAUUAGGGAAGAACAUAUGUGUAAGUAACUGUGCACAUCUUGACGGUACCUAAUCAGAAAGCCACGGCUAACUACGUG